CCGAAAGGCGUAGUCGAUGGGAAACAGGUUAAUAUUCCUGUACUUGGUGUUACUGCGAAGGGGGGACGGAGAAGGCUAUGUUGGCCGGGCGACGGUUGUCCCGGUUUAAGCGUGUAGGCUGGUUUUCCAGGCAAAUCCGGAAAAUCAAGGCUGAGGCGUGAUGACGAGGCACUACGGUGCUGAAGCGACAAAUGCCCUGCUUCCAGGAAAAGCCUCUAAGCAUCAGGUAACAUCAAAUCGUACCCCAAACCGACACAGGUGGUCAGGUAGAGAAUACCAAGGCGCUUGAGAGAACUCGGGUGAAGGAACUAGGCAAAAUGGUGCCGUAACUUCGGGAGAAGGCACGCUGAUAUGUAGGUGAAGCGACUUGCUCGUGGAGCUGAAAUCAGUCGAAGAUACCAGCUGGCUGCAACUGUUUAUUAAAAACACAGCACUGUGCAAACACGAAAGUGGACGUAUACGGUGUGACGCCUGCCCGGUGCCGGAAGGUUAAUUGAUGGGGUUAGCGGUAACGCGAAGCUCUUGAUCGAAGCCCCGGUAAACGGCGGCCGUAACUAUAACGGUCCUAAGGUAGCGAAAUUCCUUGUCGGGUAAGUUCCGACCUGCACGAAUGGCGUAAUGAUGGCCAGGCUGUCUCCACCCGAGACUCAGUGAAAUUGAACUCGCUGUGAAGAUGCAGUGUACCCGCGGCAAGACGGAAAGACCCCGUGAACCUUUACUAUAGCUUGACACUGAACAUUGAGCCUUGAUGUGUAGGAUAGGUGGGAGGCUUUGAAGUGUGGACGCCAGUCUGCAUGGAGCCGACCUUGAAAUACCACCCUUUAAUGUUUGAUGUUCUAACGUGGGCCCCUUACCGGGGUUGCGGACAGUGUCUGGUGGGUAGUUUGACUGGGGCGGUCUCCUCCUAAAGAGUAACGGAGGAGCACGAAGGUUGGCUAAUCCUGGUCGGACAUCAGGAGGUUAGUGCAAUGGCAUAAGCCAGCUUGACUGCGAGCGUGACGGCGCGAGCAGGUGCGAAAGCAGGUCAUAGUGAUCCGGUGGUUCUGAAUGGAAGGGCCAUCGCUCAACGGAUAAAAGGUACUCCGGGGAUAACAGGCUGAUACCGCCCAAGAGUUCAUAUCGACGGCGGUGUUUGGCACCUCGAUGUCGGCUCAUCACAUCCUGGGGCUGAAGUAGGUCCCAAGGGUAUGGCUGUUCGCCAUUUAAAGUGGUACGCGAGCUGGGUUUAGAACGUCGUGAGACAGUUCGGUCCCUAUCUGCCGUGGGCGCUGGAGAACUGAGGGGGGCUGCUCCUAGUACGAGAGGACCGGAGUGGACGCAUCACUGGUGUUCGGGUUGUCAUGCCAAUGGCACUGCCCGGUAGCUAAAUGCGGAAGAGAUAAGUGCUGAAAGCAUCUAAGCACGAAACUUGCCCCGAGAUGAGUUCUCCCUGACUCCUUGAGAGUCCUGAAGGAACGUUGAAGACGACGACGUUGAUAGGCCGGGUGUGUAAGCGCAGCGAUGCGUUGAGCUAACCGGUACUAAUGAACCGUGAGGCUUAACCUUACAACGCCGAAG
rnacentral:rRNA from 1 species